ACAGCGUAAAUUAAUAAUGCAGAGUUUUAAAGAAUAAAAGCUUUACUGAUUUAAAAUAAACUUCUUCAUAAACAACAUGGUUCCAAACAGUUUGGCUGAGAUUACAUACUGACUCUGUUCACAGCUGAGGCAGACAGACUCUCACGGAAUCUUACAGAGAGCACAAAAGAGAAACUGGCUGGCUAAGUCACAUGUCAGAGUGACUCAACACUUAGCAGUUAGGCCUGAAUAACUUUAGUAGGCCCAAAGGACUGUGCAGGCCCAGCACUUCCCAGCCUGCUUUGCUGCUUCUGCUCUCAUGUGUCUUUGUCACAUGACAGUGCCUACCUGUGCUCCAACCUGGCGAAUUUUGGGUCAGCCAGUCCUGGGGUCUGCAGCUGUUGUUGUCAAAUGCCAAGUCAGCUCAUAGCUCUCUGUCCAGUUGUGGGAGAUCUAGAGAGUGUUCCUGGCAUUGGGCAAUUGGGACAGAUUACGGAUUCUCUUGGUUUACCGCCCGCUUUUCUGCCCAGUAGUCUUCCUGCCUGAGCUGACAGAGUUGGUCUCAAGAGUCGGUGUUGAGGACUCCCAGGCUGCUGGUUUGGGGAGACGUCAGCAUCCAUGUGUAGGCGCAUCCAGUAUGUGCGCGGCCGUACACACGUGCAUUGCGCCAAACCCAGAAGUGACCUGAAAAUGUCAUAAAGAUGUCACAAAAAGGUGCGGAACAGGGUGGGGCAGGGCUGCCUUAUAUUUUUGCCACCAUGGGCAGCAUAUAAAUUUAAUAAAGGAACAAACUAGCAAAUUUAAUAAAGGAACAAACUAGCAAAUUUAAUAAAGGAACAAACUAGCAAAUUAAUCAUACGGUUUUUAGAGGUGAAUGAAAAUGCUACUCUGAAUUUUGC